CCUACGGGAGGCUGCAGUGGGGAAUAUUGGGCAAUGGGCGCAAGCCUGACCCAGCAACGCCGCGUGAAGGAAGAAGGCUUUCGGGUUGUAAACUUCUUUUCUCAGGGACGAAGAAAGUGACGGUACCUGAGGUAUAAGCCACGGCUAACUACGUGCCAGCAGCCGCGGUAAUACGGAGGUGGCAAGCGUUAUCCGGAUUUAUUGGUUGUAAAGGUCGUGUAGGCGGGAGCGCAAGUCAGAUGUGAAAACUCAGGGCUCAACCCUGAGCCUGCAUUUGAAACUGUGUUUCUUGAGUGCUGGAGAGGCAAGCGGAAUUCCGUGUGUAGCGGUGAAAUGCGUAGAUAUACGGAGGAACACCAGUGGCGAAGGCGGAUUGCUGGACAGUAACUGACGCUGAGGCGCGAAAGCGUGGGGAGCAAACAGGAUUAGAUACCCGGGUAGUC
rnacentral:rRNA from 1 species